rnacentral:rRNA from 1 species
AUUGAACGCUGGCGGCAUGCCUUACACAUGCAAGUCGAACGGCAGCACGGGAGCAAUCCUGGUGGCGAGUGGCGAACGGGUGAGUAAUACAUCGGAACGUGCCCAAUCGUGGUGGAUAACGCAGCGAAAGCUGUGCUAAUACCGCAUACGAUCUACGGAUGAAAGCAGGGGACCGCAAGGCCUUGCGCGCAUGGAGCGGCCGAUGGCGGAUUAGGUAGUUGGUGGGGUAAAGGCUCACCAAGCCAACGAUCGGUAGCUGGUCUGAGAGGACGACCAGCCACACUGGGACUGAGACACGGCCCAGACUCCUACGGGAGGCAGCAGUGGGGAAUUUUGGACAAUGGGCGCAAGCCUGAUCCAGCCAUGCCGCGUGCAGGAUGAAGGCCUUCGGGUUGUAAACUGCUUUUGUACGGAACGAAACGGCCUUGUCUAAUAAAGAGGGCUAAUGACGGUACCGUAAGAAUAAGCACCGGCUAACUACGUG